GGGUGCGUGGCCCAAUGGCAAGGCGCUUGACUACGAAUCAAGAGAUUGCAGGUUCGAUCCCUGCCGUGCUCA
rfam:Aureobasidium subglaciale EXF-2481 unplaced genomic scaffold scaffold_4, whole genome shotgun sequence.